UUGGAAUCGGGAGACAAGGACAUAAGAUGGGUCUGAGGGCAGGUCGCAGGAGGACCGUCGUAGAGAAGGCUCCAAAUAUAGACGAGAGGCAGAGAGCGAGAGAGAGUAGGCGCUUCACUCCCUGGGAGGAAAUGGCUUUGUGUUGCAGGAGUGACGCUGGACAGGGUUGGGGGGGGCUGCGCUGAGGACCUCCGCCGCCCGUCACCGCACGAGCUCGGGUGCGAUCGGCCGCUGCCGACUCCUUUUUCUUGUUGAUUCUUGUUGAUUGUUUGAAAUCUUUGUGUGGACUUUCAAUAAAACAGAACACGAAGCUUGGGUGAGAA